GGCCCUAUCGUCUAGUCUGGUCUAGGACGUAAGAUUUUCAUUCUUAAAACAUGGGUUCGAAUCCCGUUAGGGUCA
rnacentral:tRNA from 1 species